UAACCUGCCUCUUAGCGGGGGAUAACUAUUGGAAACGAUAGCUAAUACCGCAUAAAAGUCGACAUUGCAUGAUGUUGACUUGAAGGGUGCAAUUGCAUCACUAAGAGAUGGACCUGCGUUGUAUUAGCUAGUUGGUGAGGUAACGGCUCACCAAGGCAACGAUACAUAGCCGACCUGAGAGGGUGAUCGGCCACACUGGGACUGAGACACGGCCCAG
rnacentral:rRNA from 1 species